rnacentral:lncRNA from 1 species
UUCAGCUUAUUUGAUUUCUUAUUUACGCUUUUAUCUUUUUUCCGUAGGGUGUAAAGGAGCCGCUAGGACAGGUCACUCUUGUUUAAUGAAAUUAAAUUCGCCAAAACAGACACUAGCGCUAGAUCAUGUCUCCACUGACGAGGGCAAAAGCUCCAGAUAUUUAUGGCGAAGUCAGAAAAAGACGAGGAAAAAUAGACGAAAAACGAGUAGCCUUAUUUUCAAGUUCUAAAUCGCUGACACAUUCUAAUGAUUCCAUCACAAAGUUCUCAUUACUUGUCUUUAAAAAAAAAACAACAACAACAAAAUCAUCCAAAUGCGAGUUUUUCCGAAUAAUUGGUCAAGCUACGAUUCCAAUAAAUCCAUCUAAUUGACAGUGGAAAUUUUCGCAAAAUCACUCAAUCAGCAUCGAAGUCAAUGUAGUACGGUAAUUAAAUUUUUAGGCACGGCAAUUUUUCGCGCGUUUAUCGUAAGUAUGACCUUGAGUAAACAACGUAAACAACGUAAGCAAUGACGAAGGCUGCGGAAAUCCCCUGUCUCCGGUGAUAUUUUCAUACUUUAAACCCCGGAAGACAUCGAAAACAGCGCGAAAAUCAAUAAAACUGUGUCAAAUAGACACCGAUCGAGGUACAGCAGGAGCGAAAGCCACCUCCCCUAUAUUUUUACGCGCGCGAAUUCAGAGCUUUCCGCCGCGAAUAAAGUUUUUUUAUUUAUAAAACAACUUCCUACAACUAUAUUUUAAAUUCGAACACUCUCCGAACAACAGAUUGUGCGCGGCCACAACAUCGAACAUAUGAUGCGAGAGCGGUGAUAAAUCAUUUUUCCCGAAAAAAUUGUGUGCCAAAACGCAGUUCGCGCGACGUUGCCAGUUCUGCGGCCGGAGCCGCCGUCGAUCGGGGAAACCUGAUGUUUUCCCCUGGAAACUAGGCAGCCGUGUCGACGACUCCGCAAUGCAAAGCCCGCUUGCUUUGAAGCCGAACCGAGUGUGGAUUUAUGGCCCGUCUGUCAGCGGCAGGGUUGACAAAUUGUGUGAGAUUUUCAGGAUUUUUCCGUGAUAAUCGAUAGGAAACGGGUUGUUUUAUGUUGAAAUCCGGCAGCCUCCGGCGCGUCGGGGAUUUAUUCAAGUCCGCAGACAGCACCCACUUACCGCGGCUGGAUAUUCCGAUUCAGGUGAAACGAAACUAUUUCAGGUCCCGGGCUAUAAAGUCCGCGGGGUCGUAUUCGUAGACAUUCCUUAGGUAGCUCCUUUCAUCAGGAGGGGUUGACGAAGUUACAUUGUAACUAAGGGAGGUUCAAGUUGCCCUUUUAAUAUAAACUCAUAAAGUGAAUACUUCAAAACUGAGAAUUACUAUGUGAACGGCGGUGUGUUUCUCCGUUAAAGUCAGGCUCUUCGACAAAUUAUGAUUAAUUUUUAACAAGUUGGUAGUAGCACUCAAUUAAUUUGUUAGGUGGGUAUGUACCCAAAGUGCUAAGAACGUCCAAGAAUUAACUUACAUAAAACUUCUUUAUUCGAUAAUAAUUUUUGGUCGAAGCUUUUCGGCAUGAUUGCCAUUGCCAGGACCUUUAAAUGCUGAAAAAUAAAUGUAAAUGCAUUUUUCCAUUAACAAUUACAACUUUGGUAGCCACUUUGUGACUAGGAUGGAAUAUAAAUGUAGAUAAGAUGUUUCCAUUUUUAGCACCUUGGCUACGGACCCACCUGACAGACAAAUUAUUGUUUCCAUUUUCUUUGCCAUUGGAGUCACACACUGGAUGUUGAACAGAUAAUUCAGAAGUGAAUAAAUGUAUUUCAUACAUAUUCAGCAGAAAUAAUGAGCUUUCUGUUAUUCGUUUCCAAUUACUUCUGACAGUUACUAC